CAGAGGAGGCAGGGGGUGGAGGGGCGGAGGGAGAGAGUGAGUGAGAAUCUUAAGCAGGCUCCACACUCAGCAGUGGAGCUUGAGGCCAGGCUCAAUCUCUUGACCCUUGAGAUCACGACCUGAGCCAAAACCAAGAGUCCAGUGCUUCACUGACUGAGCCACCCUGGCGCCUCUAAACUCUGUUUUUCUAAUAUCGCUUACUGUUCAGUCCUCUCGAUUAGAUUUUCCUGGUACAUCUUUUUUCAGAUCUUUAUUUUUAUCCUUUCUAUCUGGUUUUAAGAAGUUUCCCUUGUAAAGAAGAACAGUGAAGUGAGUUUCGAUUUUGAACCCUGUCUAAUUAUCUGGGGGCGUGGGCAGAGGAAGAGGGGGGUCAAACCUGCUCACAAUGGUAGGCUAUACCGGUGCGCUACCCACUAGCUUUGGUGAUUUCGGUUUCUAGCCUUUUUCUUUGUGUUUUCCCUUUCCCCAGCUUCAUGUUGGAUGAUCAUUUCCUCCCUUCCCCUAGUUUGGAAGCCACAGAUUGUAUUUUCAUGCUUUUGGUGGUUAUCCUUAAAUUUAACACAGAUUAACACAACAUUUUCUAACACAGACAUCACGCUUCCCUUACUGCACACCUAUGCCUCAGCCUUUCCACCUUGGCCCUGCAGUGUUUGCUGCGCUGGGGAACUCCUGGGAGCUGAGGAGGAGAGGCUAUGAGACAGCACGGGAGGACAGCUCCGUUUUCAAAAUGCGGGCAUUUCGGUGAUUCCAGCACAUAAGAAACAUGAAAUGCAGUGGCCCAGGCAGUGGUAUUUCAAAGACACUAUGACAAGAAGGAAGACACAAUUUUAUUGGUCAGGAAAUGUGUUACUGUGCUUCCAUUGUAAGCGCCUUUUACAUCUGAAUGUCCUUGGGGCUCGUAACCUCUACUUUUUCUUUUUCUUACUUGCGGCGGGCUUGCUGGAUUGGGAUACUGCCGUGUCCUCUUUGGGGGGGCUUGGUGUGAAACUCGAGGACGGGGCAUCCACCGGUUCCUUGAGCACAGUGAUGUCCACAUCACAUUCUGGUCUUUUGGCCUCUUCCUCUCUCAAGCUGUUCAGCCUAACACAAGAAGCAAACACAGGAAGGUACCUUUGAUUUUUCUUUGCAAUUUCAAAACCAGCUUUAUGCUCUAUUUUGUUUAUGCCAAGUAGGCCAUCCCUAGAUUUCAACAGUUUCUGUAAGCAGAACUGUAAAUUGUCCUCACUUUGCCUGAUAUACAAAGCGAUGCCAUGUCUGGACAGUCCAGAAUAAAAUUUUCAUGUAUCUAAAGUGAUUUUUGAACCAUUUUCCUCUGUAGCAACUUAGCAGCUAGUAAGUAGCCUUUUAAAAUACUCAUGGUCUUUGCCCCUACAUAUAGUUUAAUGCUUCCUUCAACAGACCAUCAGGCUCAAUGUGUGUCUGCAAAGAGCAGGCUUUAGCACUCUGGCCAGAUGUGACUGCACAGUUCUCGACCACGGUUCUAGAAAGGUAGGCGAGCAGCAGAUAGUGGGCGCUCAGCAUGGGCAAGGCACUGUUUUAGACACAUCACAACAUCCGCUCACUGAAUCCUUGCAACAGCCUGCUGUGGGGGAUUAUCUGCACGUACAGAUGGGGAAACCAAGGCACUGAGUGGACCUUGCCCAGGGUCACCUACGUGCCAAGGGGCAGGGCUGGGAUCCGAACCUAGUAGCCUAGCUCUGUGGCCCCUCGGUGCUUCUCUGUGUGUGCCCUGGGGCCCAGGUGUUCCCACCACCCGGGAGAGCCAGUGGUCCCAGGCAGGAUUCUUCCGGCAGUUCCAGGUUCUCGGUGCCACCGAAGGAGCCGCCUCCCUGAGGAAGUUGUACACUUUUCAUGAAAGCCUUUGGUCCCCGGCCACAGAGAUGGGAAGGAAAGCUGGAGGAGAGGAGCCGGAAGGUUCUGUAAGUUACCUGGCUUCCAGCUCGUCGUUUUCCAGUUUCCUCUGCUGGGCCAUGGCCUCCUGGUGCCGCCUGUUCUCUCUUAUUUUCUGCUUGAGGAUUUCUUCGUGUUUAUGUGCAGGGAACAAGAUAUUCACAAAAAAGAUGUACAAACUUGUGAUCCACACAGCAAAUUUUUCCUUUUGUUCGUCCUUGGAGUUUUCUUUUCUCUCUGGAAGAAAGUUUAAAAAGGAGCCUGAAGACAAUCCCGGUUCGGCCCCUUCCUGCCUUGUCUGAGCAUUUUCAGCCCCUGGAAGAUGAGGGGAGGCUGAAGGUCACCACCAAGGGCUUCCCUGACCACCUGAAACAAGGCAGGUGUCCGCGGACCAGACCUGUGAUUGCCGGCACGUUGAGUCUCCUGAUGUGUUCUAAACGGUAUUUUAUUAUUUAGAGAGUGCAGGCGAGCGGAGAAGGAGAGAGUCGCAAGCCAAAUCCGCACUGAGCGAGCGUAGAGCCAAGCGCAGAGCUCGGUGUGGGACUCGAUCUACCUCUCUGAGGUCGUGACCUGAGCCGAGACCAGGAGUCAGACGUUCAGCGGACUGAGCCACCCCGGCGCCCCGUGAAAGAGGAUGUUUAACUCUUAAUUGCAGAAGGCGGCAGGUAAAACUACUGCUUUGGUGAGUUGCUUCCCAUCUACACGAGGGCCAACAGAUGUCCACAUGGGAAUGUGUUUAAGUAGCUGAUUCUGGGCAGAUAACGCUUUGAAUAGUUCUGUAAGGUCAGUAAGCUCAGGGAUCUCUCAAGACAGCGAGCGUUUAUAGUGUGGGCCACUCUGCUGCGUGCGGGUGGGGAGGGGUGAGGACACGGGACGGGGAUGACGGAAAGGUUUGGUGCCGCGAACAGUCCGCCUUCCCAUCUCAUGAGCCACGGGGCCGAGCACGGAGUGGAACGCUAAUACGAAGAAACUUGAGGCCAAUGCCAGACUUCACAAAGACUGAGGGAGACCCUCAUCGGCACUUCCCACGUGAAUUCGUAGGUUCUAGAAUAUCCACGUCAGCCACGGCAGGCUAGGCUUGGGAGAAUGUUGUGCGUGGAGGUAGGUGAUGAAUAAUGACUCAGGGGGUGACUGACCCUCUAACAGGCUCUGGGCGCCGUGUCCCAGGCAGGCCCAGCCUCUGCUUCAGAAGUAGCAGAGUGCGGUAGUUAAGAGCAGACAGGAGCCAAGCAAGGUCCAGUCCAGGCUCAGCUCUGCCACUGACUAGCUGCGUAACCUGCGACUGAAUAUCUGUGCCUUGGUUUCCCCAUCAAAAAGGGAACCAUGGAGGGUCCCCCUCACAGAGGUGGUAUGAAACCUAGAUGAUUUAACAGUAAACACUGAUACACUAGCGGUUUUCCCACAAGCCAUGCUUGCCAAAGCAAAUAAUUAUAAAACAAAAGGUCAUGCACCAAAUGUAUCAGAUGAAAAAUGACCUGUAUCCAGGUUACAUGAAUAACUCAAUGAGACAAUCCAUUAAAAAAAUUUUUUAGGGGCGCCUGGGUGGCUCAGUGGGUGAAAGCCUCUGCCUU